GAUGAACGCUGGCGGCGUGCCUAAUACAUGCAAGUCGAGCGAAUGGAUUAAGAGCUUGCUCUUAUGAAGUUAGCGGCGGACGGGUGAGUAACACGUGGGUAACCUGCCCAUAAGACUGGGAUAACUCCGGGAAACCGGGGCUAAUACCGGAUAACAUUUUGAACCGCAUGGUUCGAAAUUGAAAGGCGGCUUCGGCUGUCACUUCUGGAUGGACCCGCGUCGCAUUAGCUAGUUGGUGAGGUAACGGCUCACCAAGGCAACGAUGCAUAGCCGACCUGAGAGGGUGAUCGGCCACACUGGGACUGAGACACGGCCCAGACUCCUACGGGAGGCGGCAGUAGGGAAUCUUCCGCAAUGGACGAAAGUCUGACGGAGCAACGCCGCGUGAGUGAUGAAGGCUUUCGGGUCGUAAAACUCUGUUGUUAGGGAAGAACAAGUGCUAGUUGAAUAAGCUGGCACCUUGACGGUACCUAACCAGAAAGCCACGGCUAACUACGUGCCAGCAGCCGCCGUAA
rnacentral:rRNA from 1 species